GACGAACGCUGGCGGCCUGCUUAACACAUGCAAGUCGAACGGAAAGGCCCUGCUUUUGUGGGGUGCUCGAGUGGCGAACGGGUGAGUAACACGUGAGUAACCUGCCCUUGACUUUGGGAUAACUUCAGGAAACUGGGGCUAAUACCGGAUAGGAGCUCCUGCUGCAUGGUGGGGGUUGGAAAGUUUCGGCGGUUGGGGAUGGACUCGCGGCUUAUCAGCUUGUUGGUGGGGUAGUGGCUUACCAAGGCUUUGACGGGUAGCCGGCCUGAGAGGGUGACCGGCCACAUUGGGACUGAGAUACGGCCCAGACUCCUACGGGAGGCAGCAGUGGGGAAUAUUGCACAAUGGGCGGAAGCCUGAUGCAGCAACGCCGCGUGCGGGAUGACGGCCUUCGGGUUGUAAACCGCUUUCGCCUGUGGCGAAGCGUGAGUGACGGUAAUGGGUAAAGAAGCACCGGCUAACUACGUG
rnacentral:rRNA from 1 species